rnacentral:rRNA from 1 species
AUUGAACGCUGGCGGCAGGCUUAACACAUGCAAGUCGAGCGAGCGGAGGACGGGCGAGUAAUGUCUGGGAAACUGCCUGAUGGAGGGGACAAACUACUGGAAACGGUAGCUAAUACCGCAUACCAUCAGAUGUGCCCUGAUGGGAUUAGCUAGUAGGUGGGGCAAUGGCUCACCUAGGCGACGAUCCCUAGCUGGUCUGAGAGGAUGACCAGCCACACUGGAACUGGGACCCGGUCCAGACUCCUACGUGAGGCAGCAGUGGGGAAUAUUGCACAAUGGGCGCAAGCCUGAUGCAGCCAUGCCGCGUGGGUGAAGAAGGCCUUCGGGUUGUAAAGCACUUUCAGCGAGGAGGCGUUACUCGCAGAAGAAGCACCGGCUAACUCCGUGCCAGCAGCCGCGGUAAUUC